GACGAACGCUGGCGGCGUGCUUAACACAUGCAAGUCGAGCGGUAAGGCCCUUUCGGGGGUACACGAGCGGCGAACGGGUGAGUAACACGUGGGUGACCUGCCCUCAGCUCUGGGAUAAGCCUGGGAAACCGGGUCUAAUACUGGAUAUGACUCCAUGACGCAUGUUGUGGGGUGGAAAGCCUUGUGCGGCUGAGGAUGGGCCCGCGGCCUAUCAGCUUGUUGGUGGGGUGANGGCCUACCAAGGCGACGACGGGUAGCCGGCCUGAGAGGGCGACCGGCCACACUGGGACUGAGACACGGCCCAGACUCCUACGGGAGGCAGCAGUGGGGAAUCUUGCGCAAUGGGCGAAAGCCUGACGGAGUGACGCCGCGUGGGGACGAAGGCCUUC
rnacentral:rRNA from 1 species